rnacentral:rRNA from 1 species
CAGUAGCCACGGGAAUACGAAGGGGGCUAGCGUUGUUCGGAAUUACUGGGCGUAAAGGGCGCGUAGGCGGCCAUUCAAGUUAGAUGUGAAAGCCCUGGACUCAACCUAGGAAUUGCAUUUGAUACUGUUUGGCUUGAGUUCGGGAGAGGUGAGUGGAAUUCCCAGUGUAGAGGUGAAAUUCGUAGAUAUUGGGAAGAACACCAGUGGCGAAGGCGGCUCACUGGACCGACACUGACGCUGAGGCGCGAAAGCGUGGGGAGCAAACAGGAUUAGAUACCCGUGUAGUCCCUGUCUCUUAUAC